GUGGGGAAUAUUGGACAAUGGGCGCAAGCCUGAUCCAGCCAUGCCGCGUGAGUGAUGAAGGCCCUAGGGUUGUAAAGCUCUUUCACCGGUGAAGAUAAUGACGGUAACCGGAGAAGAAGCCCCGGCUAACUUCGUGCCAGCAGCCGCGGUAAUACGAAGGGGGCUAGCGUUGUUCGGAAUUACUGGGCGUAAAGCGCACGUAGGCGGACAUUUAAGUCAGGGGUGAAAUCCCGGGGCUCAACCCCGGAACUGCCUUGGAUACUGGGUGUCUGGAGUAUGGAAGAGGUAAGUGGAAUUCCGAGUGUAGAGGUGAAAUUCGUAGAUAUUCGGAGGAACACCAGUGGCGAAGGCGGCUUACUGGUCCAUUACUGACGCUGAGGUGCGAAAGCGUGGGGAGCAAACAGGAUUAGAAACCCUAGUAGUCC
rnacentral:rRNA from 1 species